rnacentral:rRNA from 1 species
GGAGUUAGCCGGUGCUUCUUCUGUGAGUGAUGUCCUUCCUGCCGGCUAUUAACCCGCAGGCCUUCUUCCUCACUGAAAGUGCUUUACAACCCGAAGGCCUUCUUCACACACGCGGCAUGGCUGGAUCAGGGUUGCCCCCAUUGUCCAAUAUUCCCCACUGCUGCCUCCCGUAGGAGUCUGGGCCGUGUCUCAGUCCCAGUGUGGCUGAUCAUCCUCUCAGACCAGCUACGGAUCGUCGCCUUGGUGAGCCGUUACCUCACCAACCAGCUAAUCCGACAUAGGCUCAUCCGAUAGCGCGAGGCCCGAAGGUCCCCCGCUUUCCCCCGUAGGGCGUAUGCGGUAUUAGCCUGGGUUUCCCCAGGUUAUCCCCCACUACCGGGCAGAUUCCUAUGCAUUACUCACCCGUCCGCCGCUCGCCACCAGGGAGCAAGCUCCCCGUGCUGCCGCUCGACUUGCAUGUGUUAGGCCUGCCGCCAGCGUUCAAUCUGAGCCAGAUCAACAACUGACUGNGCGGCGCGCGACGACGCG